AGGACCACCCAAUUUUGAAUUAUUUUCACACGUGGUUACCAUUUACUAUCUUGUCAUUUUUCCACACUCCUUGCAAACAUGCAACUUUUCCCACCAUAUAAAUCCAUCCUCUCUUUCAAACAUGAAGCCACAAAGAAGAUUUCAACUCACAAUGCACGCCACCAAAAAAUUGCUUUGUGUUUGAGAUUUAAACAAAGUAUGCAUCUCCUUCUAAAAUCAAAUCAUAACCAUAUUAAAUCCAUGUGACAAACAAUAGUGAUCUUACCAUGUCCCUUCAUUAAGGGGCUCUUUGGUAAGCCUCUUAACGAUUCCAUUAGAAGACUGCUUUUAAAUCAGUCAGAUUUAGAGCGUUUGGUUCAUUACUUUUCCAUCUUUGAAUGGGUCAACAAGGCUUUGAUUCAGUCAGACCUAAGGGAGGUGUUGAAAGAAAAAAAUAGAUUGUGUUUACUUUUUUCUCUAAUUAAGCAACACUCACCUUCUUCCUUCUCAUACACCUCCAUACUGAUCUUGCGCACACCUCCACCUCCGCCCUUAUCCGAUAUCGCAUGCGUUGUGACCUCUCAUGGUAGCUACCCCAUCAUUCUAAAUGAAGUUUCAUCAUUGACGCUCUACAUCGAUUGCUUCUGUAUGUAUUUUGUGUUCAUCUGCAAUUGCGAUUCGUGUCUUCAUCAACAAUAGGGUUUAAUGUGGUGAAGAUGUAAUUACAAAGAGAAGGCAGAUAAAUUCAUGUUGUUGAUCAUGGAGCUCCUUCCUCUGUCAAAGCAAACUAUGUAGCUUAUGUGGAUUAUUUUGGCUUCUCCAUUCAUUUUUAAAGUAAAAUUGGAAUUUAUAUAAAUUGUUGCUAGAAAUCAAAGUGGGUGAUUAACUUGUUAUAAAUGGACGAAUAACAAAUUUACAUG